rnacentral:rRNA from 1 species
UCUCAAGCGUUGUUCGGAUUCAUUGGGCGUAAAGGGUGUGUAGGUGGCGCCGUAAGUCGGGUGUGAAAUUUCGGAGCUUAACUCCGAAACUGCAUUCGAUACUGCCGUGCUUGAGGACUGGAGAGGAGACUGGAAUUUACGGUGUAGCGGUGAAAUGCGUAGAUAUCGUAAGGAAGACCAGUGGCGAAGGCGGGUCUCUGGACAGUUCCUGACGCUGAGGCACGAAGGCCAGGGGAGCAAACGGG